AGGGAAUCUUCCGCAAUGGACGCAAGUCUGACGGAGCAACGCCGCGUGAGUGAAGAAGGUUUUCGGAUCGUAAAACUCUGUUGUUAGAGAAGAACAAGUGCUAGAGUAACUGUUAGCGCCUUGACGGUAUCUAACCAGAAAGCCACGGCUAACUACGUGCCAGCAGCCGCGGUAAUACGUAGGUGGCAAGCGUUGUCCGGAUUUAUUGGGCGUAAAGCGAGCGCAGGCGGUUCCUUAAGUCUGAUGUGAAAGCCCCCGGCUCAACCGGGGAGGGUCAUUGGAAACUGGGGAACUUGAGUGCAGAAGAGGAGAGUGGAAUUCCAUGUGUAGCGGUGAAAUGCGUAGAUAUAUGGAGGAACACCAGUGGCGAAGGCGACUCUCUGGUCUGUAACUGACGCUGAGGCUCGAAAGCGUGGGUAGCAAACAGGAUUAGAUACCCUGGUAGUCCACGCCGUAAACGAUGAGUGCUAAGUGUUGGAGGGUUUCCGCCCUUCAGUGCUGCAGUUAACGCAUUAAGCACUCCGCCUGGGGAGUACGACCGCAAGGUUG
rnacentral:rRNA from 1 species